rnacentral:rRNA from 2 species
UAGGGAAUCUUCCGCAAUGGACGAAAGUCUGACGGAGCAACGCCGCGUGAGUGAUGAAGGCUUUCGGGUCGUAAAACUCUGUUGUUAGGGAAGAACAAGUGCUAGUUGAAUAAGCUGGCACCUUGACGGUACCUAACCAGAAAGCCACGGCUAACUACGUGCCAGCAGCCGCGGUAAUACGUAGGUGGCAAGCGUUAUCCGGAAUUAUUGGGCGUAAAGCGCGCGCAGGUGGUUUCUUAAGUCUGAUGUGAAAGCCCACGGCUCAACCGUGGAGGGUCAUUGGAAACUGGGAGACUUGAGUGCAGAAGAGGAAAGUGGAAUUCCAUGUGUAGCGGUGAAAUGCGUAGAGAUAUGGAGGAACACCAGUGGCGAAGGCGACUUUCUGGUCUGUAACUGACACUGAGGCGCGAAAGCGUGGGGAGCAAACAG